AUUAACAAAAGUUACAUCCGAAAUUUAAAAACAAUAACCAAAUUAGUGUUUUUUUAGUUUUAAAAUGUUAUGUCCAAAUCUAUUAAUCAUUCAAUCUAUUAAAAAAAUAAAAAAUCAGUUAAGUGAAAGUUAUAUUUUAAAUACAAGAAAAUUGAAAAAUGAAAUUUUAAUUUUUUUUCUUUCAAAAUCUAAAUAUCUGAACCCGAUCCGAAAUAACUGAAUCCGAACUAAAAAUACCCGAACCCGUCCCGAUGUACAGAAAUACCCGAACGGGUUCUACACCUCUAUACCGAAAUAUCCAAAAAUCUGAAAUACCCGAUCUGAACCCGAACGGGUACCCGAAAGCCCACCCCUACUUAUACCCUGCCUUAAAAUAUAAUCUCAUAAAUUUGGUUUAUUUUUGUAAUUUCGUCUAUACUAUUAAAAGAGAAGGAUUCUUAAAAAAUCUACUUAUACAAAAUUGUUGGACCUAUUCAUUAGCUAAUUAAUUUUUGGUCUUGCCUUAUUUAUCUCUAACUAUACAAGAUUAUUACUAAUAGCACCCAUAUUAAUGGCAUCAUUUGAUUUUUCUCUUUACCUACAAAAUCGCCUACC
rnacentral:lncRNA from 1 species